UAAAAAAAAUUUAAAAACAAUUCUUUUUUUAUAUUUAUAAAAUUACAGUAAUUAAUUGCAUAUAACUCCCUGUAAAUAUAUCGAAUAACAAAUAUAUCCCUACAGAGCUUAGCUUUUUAUUUUUGUCCUUAUAAAAGUCUUAAUGUUUUCAAAUAUACUCUUGCUGUUAGAAUCCGUUAGAAAAUAUAGUUAAUUAUACGUAAAAUAUUUAAUCCUGAUUAGUGAAUGAGUUAAAUUAACUUUUUUACCCUUCUUAUAUUAUUAGAUAAAAUAUUUUUUUAGGAGAAAAUUUCUACCGGUUUCUAACAGUUGGAAUUUUUAGAGAGAUAUAUUUGUUAGGACAAAAAUAUCAUUUCACUUAUCUGUUGUUAAAAAAUAAAUAGUACUUUAAUGGUGACAAAUCAGAGGGACAAAUAUGAAUAUUACCAGACUUUUGUAGGGAUAAAAAUAAAAAGUUGAAUUUUAUAAGAAUAUAUUUGCUAUUCGAUAUAUUUACAAAGAG
rnacentral:lncRNA from 1 species